rnacentral:misc_RNA from 1 species
GAUGAAGGACGCAGCGAAAUGCGAUACGUAAUGUGAAUUGCAAAUUCAGUGAAUCAUCGAGUCUUUGAACGCACAUUGCGCCCCCUGGUAUUCCGGGGGGCAUGCCUGUCCGAGCGUCAUUGCUGCCCUCAAGCACGGCUUGUGUGUUGGGCCCCGUCCUCCGAUCCCGGGGGACGGGCCCGAAAGGCAGCGGCGGCACCGCGUCCGGUCCUCGAGCGUAUGGGGCUUUGUCACCCGCUCUGUAGGCCCGGCCGGCGCUUGCCGAUCAACCCAAAUUUUUAUCCAGGUUGACCUCGGAUCAGGUAGGGAUACCCGCUGAACUUAAGCAUAUCAAUAAGCGGAGGA